AACAUGGCAAUUUUCUGGGCCUCUGCAUCCUGCUGGUAGGGUAGCACAGAGAGGGAGCUUUAUUUGUCUCUGGAACAUGAGAGCUAGGCUCUGCUCUUCCCUACAUCCGCCUCUUUUGUUGAAUUCUGGAGUCUGUCUGUUUUGGGAGCUUCUUUCCUCUUGUUUUCCCUGUGCGGGUGUAGGGGAAAGGGAUCGAAUACUGACUUCUCUUUUUCCCCAUCCAGGUGAAGGAGUGAUCUUUCACACUUGCUUUUUCCUGUUCUUCUGGGGGUACCAGUGGAACUCUUCAGGCUUAUAUCUUUACACCUACCAUAUUCUGUGCAGCAGGCACAUAGAAUUGGAAGGUGUCACAGGGUCACCAAGUCCAGAUCCCUGUGUUUCCAAAAGGAUGCACAGGAAUAUCAACUCUGACAUCACCCUCGCCCUGGUGACCUGACCUCUCUGAAGAGUCCUCUGAGGAGUUCCUUUAAUAUUACUGCAAACCCUGUUGGCUUGGGAAGUUAGACAUUACUAGAAAUGGGCCCAGUGUCAGCACACCCAUCCCCUUUUACCCUCUCUGUUUUCUUUCCCUACCUACUUCCUUCCAGUAGCAUGUGACCCAGCCAGUUCUCAAAGUGGCUAUUCCAGCUGCAGCCCUCCUUAGGGAAGGGUGUGGGGCUGCACUGCAGAGGUCCACUGACACUUCUCCAUGCUGGAGCCCAGAUUCAGUGCGCAGCUGCCUCUCUCUGUGGAUUUGAUGGACAUGACAUGGGCCUUUUAUCCCACUAUCAAAUCUGUUGUGGAUCAAGGUGAUGAUGACUGGGUCUGAAGGGGAUGCUUCUUCCAGGUGUUAUUACUCUGAGGCAAACUGGGGCCUGUUGAGGGCUUCUUCACUAGUUUCUUGAAAGUUAGUAUUGAAGCGCAGUACUUGGUACAAAGUGGCUUUGUGAGAAGCUGAUGAACCACAGUGGAGUCCCAAGGGGUUUGUAUCUCCCAGUUAGCACCUUUCGCUUUUCUCUUUUCCUCUGUUUUGUGUGUAGGGAUUAAACCUGUUGGCUCAAUAGAGAAGGGCUGGGGGGUGGUGCGUUCUGGAGGACAAUUUCAGUUCCAUGCAGUUAGUAGUAGGGGUUUCUCCCUGCAAAGCUGUCAUCAUCCCUGCUGCUGACACCUUGGGAAAGACCAGCCAUGAUGCACUAGACACAGCUGCAAGGGGUGUUAAGGCAAAGACAGUGAAGGAAAAGCCUGGUGCACAGCCGCUGUGGGGUGUCUUCUGGUUCUGCAUGGAAUAUUUCUUGUGAUCCUGACCUCCUAGGUAUAGGUGAGUCCUAAGUGUAGUUAUCAAAGCUAUGCCUUGUGAUUGGAGGUAGGAGAAGCAGCGCUACUGAAAGGAAUAGGCCUUGUUUGGGAAGAUGGCUAUGUUGAUUUUGCAGGUCCAGAGUGUGUAUACUCUCAGAUCAGGACCAGGCUAUAUAGAUCUUCAGUGCUGCACCUGUUGGAAAACAAACUCCAUGAAAUUGGUCCCCCACAGACGUCCUCCUUGAUGAUUCUCUCCAAGAUCUUCCCGAGCCCUGAGGGACUGUUAUCCUUUGGGCCUGGAGGAUCGCCC